UACAGAGGGUGCGAACGUUGCUCGGAAUUACUGGGCGUAAAGCGCAUGUAGGCGGGUCUGCAAGUCAGAUGUGAAAUCCCCGGGCUCAACCCGGGAACUGCAUCUGAAACUGCAGGCCUUGAGUACUGGAGAGGGUGGCGGAAUUCCUGGUGUAGAGGUGAAAUUCGUAGAUAUCAGGAGGAACACCGGUGGCGAAGGCGGCCACCUGGACAGUAACUGACCGCUGAGAUGCGAAAGCGUGGGAGCAAACAGG
rnacentral:rRNA from 1 species